UAUGAUUAUUAUAUCAACACUAAUGCAUCAGGUCUCAUUAGAACUCUGAAGUCAAGUAUAUUUGAACGAGAGUAAAAAUAUGAUGGGUGGCCUAAAAAGUGCUUGUGUUACAC
rnacentral:rRNA from 1 species